rnacentral:rRNA from 1 species
GAAUAUUGGACAAUGGGGGGAACCCUGAUCCAGCCAUGCCGCGUGUGUGAAGAAGGCCUUUUGGUUGUAAAGCACUUUAAGCGAGGAGGAGGAGCUCUUGGUUAAUACCCAAGAUGCUUGGACGUUACUCGCAGAAUAAGCACCGGCUAACUCUGUGCCAGCAGCCGCGGUAAUACAGAGGGUGCAAGCGGUUACCGGAUUUACUGGGCGGAAAGGGGGGGUUAGUGGCCAAUUAAGUUAAAAUGGGAAACCCCGGGGCUAACCUUGGGAAUGGAAUCGGAACUGGGUGGGCUAGGGUAGGGGGGGGGUGGGAGGAUUUCCGGUUGUAGGGGUAAAAGCCGAAAAGACUGGAGGAAAUACGGAUGGGAAAGGAACCAACUUGGCUUAAACCGGAACCGGAGGUGCAAAACCAGGGGAGCAAACA